rnacentral:lncRNA from 1 species
ACCCUCACAAAGCCCUCCGAGUAAACCCCUCUCUCCGCGCCGCUCCAAUCUCCUCCGUCGUCUCCGUCGAAACCCUCCUCUCCUCAACCGGUCUCUCGAGACCCGCCGUCGGCCGGAUCCUCGACAUGUUCCCCGAUCUGCUAACCUCCGACCCCGAAUCCGACAUCUUGCCCGUGCUUCGCUUCUUAUCCGACGAGAUCUACCUCUCCGACGAAGACAUCCCGAAGUCGAUAACCCGCUGCCCUCGCCUCCUCAUCUCCUCCGUAGACUUCCAGCUCCGUCCCGCCUUGGCCUUCCUCAAAACCCUCGGCUUCGUGGGGCGCGACACUGUCACCUCGCGGAACACUGUUUUGCUGGUUUCGAGCGUGGAGCGAACUCUAAUCCCUAAAAUCGAGUUUCUUGAGGAAGGGUUGGGGUUUACGAGGGAUGAGGUGGCGAAGAUGGUGGUGAGGUCUCCGGCGUUGUUGACGUACAGCGUGGAGAACAAUUUGGCUCCGAAAGUUGAGUUCUUUAUGGAGGAGAUGCGGGGUGAUGUCAAGGAGCUGAAGAGGUUUCCUCAGUAUUUUUCUUUUAGCUUGGAGAGGAAGAUAAAGCCGAGGCAUAGGUUGCUUAAGGAGCACGGGAUCUUGAUGCCCUUGUCGGAGAUGUUGAAGGUUAGUGAUGGACAGUUUAACCUUUGGCUUGUGGAGCUUCGUCUUAGGUCUGUUGAAAGGAGAUUGUAAAAGGGUUUCGUUCUUUGUGUGUGUGUUCCAAGGAAUAGAGACUUUACAAAUAAAGCCCGAAGAAGGUCGAAUGGGCUCCGAAAAUAGCUUAUUUUUUUUUAACUCAAACUCAAGUCCGGAUGACAUGGUAUCUUGAUUGGUUCACAAUAUUUUGCCCAUGUGGCAAGGCUUAGAAAGUAGGGAUUUAGUCCCUUUUAUAUAGUAGGAUUUUAUCCUUUAUCCAUCGUUUAUCUACUAAGCUUCGAGAAGAAUAAACUAAAAAACUCUGAAAGCAAACGACGCCGUUUCGAAAUGUUAUAUAUAUAUAUUGUUAUUACCAUCUUACCCUUACUCCAUCAGUUAUCCACUCAGCUUGAACUACAAAAAAAAAAAAGAACCUUUUUCGCUGAUGAUGUUUGCACGGUGCUGUCUUCUCCCGCCGCCGUUUAUCUCCGCCGUGAGAACCCGAUGUUUCGCCGGCGAAACUUCCGACACCGGGCUUCUCUUCCGAGAGAAGCUCAUCUACCUCCAGGACCUCAACGUCGACCCUCACAAAGCCCUCCGAGUAAACCCCUCUCUCCGCGCCGCUCCAAUCUCCUCCGUCGUCUCCGUCGAAACCCUCCUCUCCUCAACCGGUCUCUCGAGACCCGCCGUCGGCCGGAUCCUCGACAUGUUCCCCGAUCUGCUAACCUCCGACCCCGAAUCCGACAUCUUGCCCGUGCUUCGCUUCUUAUCCGACGAGAUCUACCUCUCCGACGAAGACAUCCCGAAGUCGAUAACCCGCUGCCCUCGCCUCCUCAUCUCCUCCGUAGACUUCCAGCUCCGUCCCGCCUUGGCCUUCCUCAAAACCCUCGGCUUCGUGGGGCGCGACAC